GGAACAGAUCUAGGGGGAGGAUGACUGGAGGAGGAUGGGGAGGAGGUUUGGGCUCGACGAGAGGAGGCAGACUAGACGAGUGUCGAUGUUUUAGACUGGCAACCCGCCCAGGGGGUACCCUAGGUGGUCUUUUGUGCGGUAAGGGUCGUCGAGAAUCAAGGAAUCAAUGGUGACGCAAAGAACAUGAUUUAGAUAGGUUCGGGCCGCUAGAUCGCGUAAUACCCUACGUCCUGUGCGUUGGUUUGUAUUGAUGUUUUCUUUGAUCUUGAGAGAGAUGUCUUGAGGGGGGUCCCUGCCCGGCCUUAUAUACGCGGGAGGGCAGGGUUACAAGUCUGAGUCCUAGUCGGGUACUAUUACAGAGUUCUACUCAGUACUGGCCCGAGUAGUUUUCCAUAAACAUACAAGACUAACCCAAGAAGGAUACGCCCAUCCUUGUUCUGAUCUUGUCCGAGUACGUCCCUUGGUGGGCCGUCCAACGCCUACUCGUGGACCUGGGGAGUAUGCCUGACAAGCCCCGGAGUACUUUGUAGUCGUGCGCCACAGUCUUGGGCACUACGGGCACUAUCUGAAUAGUUUCACAAACUGAAGUGCUCGAGUACUGUCGCGUGGCUGGAAGGUACUCUUUCUGCAGCUUCAAGUCGUUUCCACUCCCGAGUAGUUUUAUAUGGUAGUGCGAUGUCAAUCGCACUCCAUAUGGAGUAGCCCCCGAGCCUUAGGUUGAGUCGAAGAGUCAGGCUUAGGGUCCAACCAGCUUUUGUCCAUUUUACC
rnacentral:lncRNA from 1 species